GACGAACGCUGGCGGCGUGCCUAACACAUGCAAGUCGAACGGAAGUAAGAGCUUCGGUUUUACUUUAGUGGCGAACGGGUGAGUAACGCGUGAGAAACCUACCUCUCAGUGGGGGACAACAGUUGGAAACGACUGCUAAUACCGCAUAACACUUUAGUACCGCAUGGUACAGAAGUCAAAGCUUUAUGUGCUGAGAGAUGGUCUCGCGUCUGAUUAGCUAGAUGGCGGGGUAACGGCCCACCAUGGCGACGAUCAGUAGCCGGUCUGAGAGGAUGAACGGCCACAUUGGGACUGAGAUACGGCCCAGACUCCUACGGGAGGCAGCAGUGGGGAAUAUUGGGCAAUGGGGGAAACCCUGACCCAGCAACGCCGCGUGAAGGAAGAAGGCCCUCGGGUUGUAAACUUCUUUAGCAGGGGCGAAAAAAUGACGGUACCUGCAGAAAAAGCAAACGGCUAACUACGUG
rnacentral:rRNA from 1 species